ACGAGGAUUGUGAAGGAACUUUACGGAGGGAAAACACAAUGACUGAGUGGCGGACGGGUGAGUAACGCGUAGGGAACCUGGCCCUUACAGGGGGAUAACAGAUGGAAACAACUGCUAAUACCGCAUAAGCGCCCAGCCUCGCAUGAGGCAGAGUGAAAAACUAAGGUGGUAAGGGAUGGCCCUGCGUCCGAUUAGCUAGUUGGUAUGGUAACGGCAUACCAAGGCGACGAUCGGUAGCCGGCCUGAGAGGGUGGACGGCCACAUUGGGACUGAGACACGGCCCAAACUCCUACGGGAGGCAGCAGUGGGGGAUAUUGCACAAUGGGGGAAACCCUGAUGCAGCGACACCGCGUGGGUGAAGAAGCGCUUCGGCGUGUAAAGCCCUAUCAGUGGGGAAGAAAAAGGACGGUACCCAAAGAAGAAGCACCGGCUAAAUACGUGCCAGCAGCCGCGGUAAUACGUAUGGUGCAAGCGUUAUCCGGAAUGACUGGGUGUAAAGGGAGCGUAGACGGUUGUACAAGUCUGAUGUGAAAGCCCACGGCUCAACUGUGGGAGUGCAUUGGAAACUGUAGAACUAGAGUAUCGGAGAGGCAAGUGGAAUUCCUAGUGUAGCGGUGAAAUGCGUAGAUAUUAGGAGGAACACCAGUGGCGAAGGCGGCUUGCUGGACGAAAACUGACGUUGAGGCUCGAAAGCGUGGGGAGCAAACAGGAUUAGAUACCCUGGUAGUCCACGCUGUAAACGAUGAAUACUAGGUGUUGGGGCCCGAAGGGCGUCGGUGCCGUCGCAAACGCAGUAAGUAUUCCACCUGGGGAGUACGUUCGCAAGAAUGAAACUCAAAGGAAUUGACGGG
rnacentral:rRNA from 1 species